GACGAACGCUGGCGGCGUGCUUAACACAUGCAAGUCGAACGGAAAGGCCCUGCUUUUGUGGGGUGCUCGAGUGGCGAACGGGUGAGUAACACGUGAGUAACCUGCCCUUGACUUUGGGAUAACUUCAGGAAACUGGGGCUAAUACCGGAUAGGAGCUCCUGCUGCAUGGUGGGGGUUGGAAAGUUUCGGCGGUUGGGGAUGGACUCGCGGCUUAUCAGCUUGUUGGUGGGGUAGUGGCUUACCAAGGCUUUGAAGGGUAGCCGGCCUGGGAGGGUGACCGGCCACCUUGGGCCUGCGAUACGGCCCAGACUCCUACGUGAGGCAGCGGUCGGGAAUCUUGCACAAUGGGCGGAAGCCUGAUGCAGCAACGCCGCGUGCGUGAUGACGGCCUUCGGGUUGUAAACCGCUUUCGCCUGUGACGAAGCGUUAGUGACGGUAAUGGGUAAAGAAGCACCGGCUAACUACGUG
rnacentral:rRNA from 1 species